rnacentral:rRNA from 1 species
UACGGAGGGUGCGAGCGUUAAUCGGAAUUACUGGGCGUAAAGCGCGCGUAGGCGGUUUGUUAAGUCAGCUGUGAAAGCCCCGGGCUCAACCUGGGAACUGCAGUUGAUACUGGCCGACUAGAGUACGAGAGAGGGAGGUAGAAUUCCAUGUGUAGCGGUGAAAUGCGUAGAUAUAUGGAGGAAUACCAGUGGCGAAGGCGGCCUCCUGGCUCGAUACUGACGCUGAGGAGCGAAAGCGUGGGGAGCGAACAGG